UAUGAGUUAGUACUGCCUGAGACUGCGGUUAAAAUUUUGCCGAUUUUUUCUUCUU
rnacentral:tRNA from 1 species